rnacentral:rRNA from 1 species
UACGUAGGGUGCGAGCGUUGUCCGGAAUUAUUGGGCGUAAAGGGCUCGUAGGCGGUUUGUCGCGUCGGGAGUGAAAACUCGGGGCUUAACCCCGAGCCUGCUUCUGAUACGGGCAGACUAGAGGUAUGCAGGGGAGAACGGAAUUCCUGGUGUAGCGGUGAAAUGCGCAGAUAUCAGGAGGAACACCGGUGGCGAAGGCGGUUCUCUGGGCAUUACCUGACGCUGAGGAGCGAAAGUGUGGGGAGCGAACAGG